GGCCUUCCAAAAAGAAGCGGUCCUAACUGACUUACGCUUCCGAUCACCUCCUCUCAGCUCCAGGUCCUUCACUCGACGACCCUGAAAAUGUUGUCCCACAACGGGGUGAGAUAUCAUCUCAACAAGUCUAACCUCUAAACCCCAAUUAGGAGGGAAAUACGCCCAGAAGUGUCCUAAUCACACAAGCACACAAUCAAUGAGACUUACCUCGUCUCAGAUCCACCCUGUAGGUCAGUACAAUUUAUCUCGAUAAUUGAAACGCCACACUCGAUUAAUCAUGCGUUCCUAGAUUUGAUCUCGGCAUAUAGCACGGCCUACUCUCAGUUCGGCGGUCUUCUGGCAUUGCCAGGCAUCGUCUCACCCCAUUGAGCACGUCACGUCUCUUUAUCAGACGGCUUUCCCGAAGGAGCAUAGGGUCCAGAAUCAACUGCGACCGGCUUCCCGUUGUCUAGGGGGUAUCCCAAAUAAGGAUAACGUCCAGCUCAACAGUCCGUGACGAUUUCUCUUAACCAUUACACGAUCACUCAAAUAUGGCCCAGGGCACCUUGCAUUGCACUCAAAUGCUUCAAUUAAAAUGGUGAGCCUGACCUUUUUCUUCGUAUUAGAAAUUCACAUGGAAUUACUCGUGUGUGGGUACACGGUCAACUUGAUCCAGGAAAAUUGAUAUUCAUCCUUUUUGAAAUCACACUAUUUCAUAUAGUACUAAAAACCAUUUUCGGUGUCAAAACCCGACACCUGAGAUUUUCUAAAUAAAUAUUGGAAAUUCACAAUUUUUUGGAAUUAAAUACCAAAAAUCCAAUUAGCACUCAAUUUGCAUAAUUUAACACUCAAUUGCAGAAAUUAACCACACCAUUGCAAUCAGCACGAAAUUCUGGUCACCGGCUAUCUUGGCCUAAAUUCCGGAAAAAUAAUUAAUAAAUAAUUAAUUUCGAAAAUUAAUUAAUUAAUUCAAUUUAAUUUCUAAAAAUACUAACCUUGGCCAAAAUUAUUAAAUUAAAUACCAAUACGGACCCGGAAAAUUUCCGAACCCUUCUAGAUAAAUAGUACAAUUUAUUUAGGCCUUAGCUAAACCAUACUAACCACCUAACAUGCUCAAUUAAAUAAUUCAAUUUCUAAUUUAAUCUAACUAACCACCUAAUUCCUAAUAAAAUAAAUCUAACACCCCUUAAACGUUAUUAGCCUACUAAGCAGAGUUUAGAGUAUAAACUCACCGGUGUAUCGCGAAAACCGGUUCACCGCGACGACGACGACGCGACGGCGGCCGAAAUCUUAAUUUUCGGCGGUGUCGGCGAACUCUCAGAUUGGGCUUUAAACGGGCCCAACAAAUCUCAGCCCAAAUCUGAGAUUUGCUUUUGAAAUUGGACUGGGCUUAAGUUGCUUCGCGGGCUUCAAUUAACGCGGGCUUGGAAAGGCUGAGUUGGGCUUGAAUUCAAGUGGGCCUUAAGCUUGCAAUGGAAUUGGGCCUGAGCUUGAAUCACUUGGGCUUUGCUGGGUUGAACAAAAUGGGCUGAUUUCUUGUGGGCCUGACUUCGUUUGGGCUUCAAAUGGAAAUGUGAAACUCGCUGGCUUGUGGCAGAAUUCACGUGGGCUUGGACUUGAAGACACGAUGGGCUGCGGCUUCACGCGUUGCUUGAUUCUACGUGGCCCAAUGGAAAUUGAAGCAACUUCGGUCUUCACCUCGGUCGUUGGUGUUGAGUCGCGGACGAAGGAAGCAGCAAGAGCUGCUGCAGGGGAAGACCACGCGGACGUGAGAGGUGGCAGCUGAGACGUUGCUGGCGCGAGCGAGCUGACCGUUGCUCGAUGAAGACACACGGCAGUAGGGUCAACAAAGCAGGAGCUCAGCUGACUUCGGUGGGCUUUGGAGAUGGCAGCGCGGCAAGACCGAAACUGUUUCGGUGGAUGGGUAAAGGACGUGUGGCAACGGGAUGGGCUGUAGGCUGCAGCUUGUUCGGUGGCUUGGCAGUCAACACUUGCUGAGGUAAUCGCCGAGUUGACCGAGAGCUGGCGUCGAAGAACUCGGGCGAAGCAGGAAUUGCUCGGUGGAACUGGGCUGGCAUGAGGAUGGGUCAACAAAAUGGAAAGUGGAGAAGUAUGGUUGACUGAGGGAGACAAGAAGAACUGGAGCAAGGACGUUUAUGAGGCUGAGUGAUUUUGGGUGGGGCUUCGUUCGCGGAGAAUGGAUGAAGAUGAAGAUGCAGGGAAAACAUGAAAAUGAAAUUGAGGUAGGAGCAGAAGCGUAGCACGAACGGGGAGAGAGACAGAGGCGGUGAAGUUUGUCCGAGAAGGCUUGAAGAGAGAG
rnacentral:lncRNA from 1 species